rnacentral:rRNA from 1 species
GACGAACGCUGGCGGCGUGCCUAAUACAUGCAAGUAGAACGCACAGUUUAUACCGUAGCUUGCUACACCAUAGACUGUGAGUUGCGAACGGGUGAGUAACGCGUAGGUAACCUGCCUGGUAGCGGGGGAUAACUAUUGGAAACGAUAGCUAAUACCGCAUAAUAUUGAUUAUUGCAUGAUAAUUGAUUGAAAGAUGCUAUUGCAUCACUACCAGAUGGACCUGCGUUGUAUUAGCUAGUAGGUGAGGUAACGGCUCACCUAGGCGACGAUACAUAGCCGACCUGAGAGGGUGAUCGGCCACACUGGGACUGAGACACGGCCCAGACGCCUACGGGAGGCAGCAGUAGGGAAUCUUCGGCAAUGGACGAAAGUCUGACCGAGCAACGCCGCGUGAGUGAAGAAGGUUGUCGGAUCGUAAAGCUCGGUUGUAAGAGAAGAACGGGUGUGAGAGUGGAAAGUUCACACUGUGACGGUAUCUUACCAGAAAGGGACGGCUAACUACGUG